GCCCCUGUAGCAUAAUGGAUAGUGCUGCGGACUUCUAAGCCGUAGAUCGAGGUUCGAUUCCUCGCGGGGGCACCA
rnacentral:tRNA from 1 species